CCCUUAGAUGUCCUGGGCCGCACGCGCGCUACAAUGACUCACUCAGAAAGUUUUUCCUGAUCCGGAAGGAUUCGGGUAAUCUUCAUAGCAUGAGUCGUGUUAGGGAUCGAUCUUUGCAAUUAUAGAUCUUGAACGAGGAAUGCCCAGUAAGUGCAGCUCAUCAGGCUGUACUGAUUACGUCCCUGCCCUUUGUACACACCGCCCGUCGCUCCUACCGAUUGAGUGGUCCGGUGAACCUUCUGGAUUAAGCAGCAAUGCUUGAGAAGUUAGGUAAACCUUAUCACUUAGAGGAAGGAGAAGUCGUAACA
rnacentral:rRNA from 1 species